rnacentral:rRNA from 1 species
UCGGGAAUUUUGGGCAAUGGGCGAAAGCCUGACCCAGCAACGCCGCGUGUGGGAUGAAGGCCCUCGGGUCGUAAACCACUGUCAGGAGGAAAGAAAAGUCGGCCGGAUAAUACUCGGUCGACCUGACGGUACCUCCAAAGGAAGCACCGGCUAACUCCGUGCCAGCAGCCGCGGUAAUACGGAGGGUGCAAGCGUUGUUCGGAAUUACUGGGCGUAAAGGGCUCGUAGGCGGCCAACUAAGUCAGACGUGAAAUCCCUCGGCUUAACCGGGGAACUGCGUCUGAUACUGGAUGGCUUGAGGUUGGGAGAGGGAUGCGGAAUUCCAGGUGUAGCGGUGAAAUGCGUAGAUAUCAGGAGGAACACCCGUGGCGAAGGCGGAUCUCUGGACCGGUUCUGACGCUGAGGAGCGAAAGCUAGGGGAGCAAACAGGAUUAGAUACCCCCGUAGUCCCUGAGCGGGCUGGCAAGGCGCAU